rnacentral:rRNA from 1 species
AUUGAACGCUGGCGGCAGGCCUAACACAUGCAAGUCGAGCGGAGCGGCGGACGGGUGCGUAAUGCCUAGGAAUCUGCCUGGUCGUGGGGGAUAACGUUCGGAAACGGGCGCUAAUACCGAAUACUAUCAGAUGAGCCUAGGUCGGAUUGGCUUGUGGGUGGGGUAAAGGUAUACCAAGGCGUCGAUCCGUAACUGGUCUGAGAGGAUGAUCAGUCACACUGGAACUUAGACACGGUCCAGACUCCUACGGGAGGCAGCAGUGGGGAAGAUUGGGCAAUGGGCGAAAGCCUGAUCCAGCCAUGCCGCGUGUGUGAAGAAGGUCUUCGGGUUGUAAAGCUCUUUAAGUUGGGAGGCGUUACCAACAGAAUAAGCACCGGCUAACUUCGUGCCAGCAGCCGCGGUAAUAC